CAUAGAUUACCUACAAUCAGAUGUCAGAGAUUUUAGGUUGUUGUUCACGUCACAUUAAGUAAAUUUCUCAUAGGGGAGUUGUUUUGGAGAGCAAUGCAGUGUGACGGGUGCAGUGUUGUGUGAUGUAGAGAACUUUAUUUCAACGAGAACUGUCAAGCGUACAGCAUUUAAGUUCGUGCCAUGAUACCCAGGCCUGCAGUCCUGCUUUGGCUGGCAGCGUUUUUUCUCUGCCUAUGCUGGCUCCACUGUGCAUCCGCCAAAACGCCACCAGGCAAGAACAGCCGAAGCAGCCGUGGCUCCGCCGGCAACGAUGAUGAAGAACAGCUACUGCGCAGCCUCGAGGACCUGUUCCGCCUCAUGACCAGGCUGCUGGAGCGAUAGGGCCGGCAUUCUCCGCCUGCACCGUCAAACACUUAUAAAUUACUGUAGCAAAUGGAAAGGUCGCUGCUCUUUGCUUUCUAAUCCAUAUUUCACCAUUACGACACACUGCUCAUUUAGCAAGUACUGCAAGUCGAUGUUAUAACAAUCUGGGUUCAGUAUAAGAAGAUACAGCAGUAAGUUUUAAAUUAGUCUUUCUUGAAGUUGGUCUUCCAUAUCUUGAUAGUUGCGUGGUAGCGGUCAACAUA